rnacentral:tRNA from 3 species
CAUUGAGAAGCUAUAGGACAAAGCGACAGCCUUUUAAGCUGUAGAAAGGUGACUUCCAACCACCCUUAAUGA